rfam:Taenia asiatica genome assembly, scaffold: TASK_scaffold0002319
GACUACAUGGCCCAGCGGUAGCGCGUCUGACUUCCGAUCAAAAGGUUGCGUGCUCAAGUCACGUUGAGGUCA